GCCUCUGUAGCUCAAUGGAAGAGCAGCGCCGUCCUAAGGCGAGGGUUGGGGGUUCGAGUCCCUCCAGGGGCA
rnacentral:tRNA from 2 species